rnacentral:rRNA from 1 species
GAGUUUGAUCUUGGCUCAGAUUGAACGCUGGCGGCAGGCCUAACACAUGCAAGUCGAGCGGAUGACGGGAGCUUGCUCCUUGAUUCAGCGGCGGACGGGUGAGUAAUGCCUAGGAAUCUGCCUGGUAGUGGGGGACAACGUUUCGAAAGGAACGCUAAUACCGCAUACGUCCUACGGGAGAAAGCAGGGGACCUUCGGGCCUUGCGCUAUCAGAUGAGCCUAGGUCGGAUUAGCUAGUUGGUGGGGUAAUGGCUCACCAAGGCGACGAUCCGUAACUGGUCUGAGAGGAUGAUCAGCCACACUGGAACUGAGACACGGUCCAGACUCCUACGGGAGGCAGCAGUGGGGAAUAUUGGACAAUGGGCGAAAGCCUGAUCCAGCCAUGCCGCGUGUGUGAAGAAGGUCUUCGGAUUGUAAAGCACUUUAAGUUGGGUAGGAAGGGCAGUAAGUUAAUACCUUGCUGUUUUGACGUUACCGACAGAAUAAGCACCGGCUAACUCUGUGCCAGCCGCCGACCG